CGGGAGUCGGGAGCUGAAGCCACGGAAGCUGCCAGAGCUGCUACAGGAAUCACAGAAAAGAGGGGAGAAACCUUAGGCUCUCCCUCCACUUGUGCUGGAAUCUCCCUUUGGUACCUCUCACUGGCUACACUUACCCAGAAAUCGUAAUCCAGAUAUUUGCAAAAGACCUGAAAUGACCUGAAAGCUGUAUCAGGAAGGAUGUACACAGAGUGAAGAUGAAGUGGGUCAUAGAGGGGAUGGAGACCUUUCUUCUCUCGUUGUAAAGCCAUGAGGAUUGGCCAUUAGGGAAAUGAAGCCAAUGUGCAGAAAAGAAAAUGAGGAACAGCCAGGAAAAGGAGAGCAUCAGCUUCCAGAUGACAUCCGAGUCCCUGAAAUCCCUCCAUUGGCCCCAAUCUUGCCCUCCUGAGACCUUGCUGUUGGGCCUGUGCAGAGCUGUGAGCUUCCUCCCGUGUCCUUUCAAGGUGAGAUCGAAUAGAAGAAAGACCGUG
ensembl:lncRNA